UACGUAGGGUGCAAGCGUUAAUCGGAAUUACUGGGCGUAAAGCGUGCGCAGGCGGUUCGCUAAGACCGAUGUGAAAUCCCCGGGCUCAACCUGGGAACUGCAUUUGUGACUGCAUCGCUGGAGUACGGCAGAGGGGGAUGGAAUUCCGCGUGUAGCAGUGAAAUGCGUAGAUAUGCGGAGGAACACCGAUGGCGAAGGCAAUCCCCUGGGCCUGUACUGACGCUCAUGCACGAAAGCGUGGGGAGCAAACAGG
rnacentral:rRNA from 1 species